ACGCGUGGAACCUUACCCGGGAUUGAAAUGUAGACGACGGAUGGUGAAAGCCGUCUUCCCUUCGGGGCGUCUAUGUAGGUGCUGCAUGGUUGUCGUCAGCUCGUGCCGUGAGGUGUCGGCUUAAGUGCCAUAACGAGCGCAACCCACAUCGGGGUAGUUGCUAACAGGUUUAGCUGAGGGCUCUACCGAGACUGCCGUCGUAAGGCGUGAGGAAGGUGUGGAUGACGUCAAAUCAGCACGGCCCUUACAU
rnacentral:rRNA from 1 species